UGGGGCUGGUCAGAACUGCCAGCGUGGGGCAUCUGUGGAGGAGGAGAGAGCAGGAGAAAAGAGAGGAACCAGGAUACUUACAUCACCAUAUCCCAAGGGAGGACACCCCUGCCUCAGUGAGCCCCAGAUGAGGCUGGGAAUGGAACACAGAAGGGCAGAAAGGCCAGAGACCCUGGAAGAGGCUCAGUCUGAGACGAGAACAGGAGUUGCUGGGCUGCUGCCUACUGGGGCCAUAUUUCCUACCAACCCCAAACCCAGGG